UACGGAGGGUGCAAGCGUUAUUCGGAAUCAUUGGGCGUAAAGGGCGCGUAGGCGGCUUUGUAAGUCAGAUGUGAAAGCCCGGGGCUUAACCCCGGAAGUGCAUUUGAAACUACAAAACUUGAGUAUGGGAGAGGAGAGCGGAAUUCCUGGUGUAGAGGUGAAAUGCGUAGAUAUUAGGAGGAACACCAGUAGCGAAGGCGGCUCUCUGGACUGUAACUGACGCUGAGGCACGAAAGCGUGGGGAGCAAACAGGAUUAGAUACCCCGGUAGUCCCUGAG
rnacentral:rRNA from 1 species